rnacentral:rRNA from 1 species
UCGGGAAUAUUGCGCAAUGGAGGAAACUCUGACGCAGUGACGCCGCGUAUAGGAAGAAGGUUUUCGGAUUGUAAACUAUUGUCGUUAGGGAAGAAAAAGGACAGUACCUAAGGAGGAAGCUCCGGCUAACUACGUGCCAGCAGCCGCGGUAAUACGUAGGGAGCGAGCGUUAUCCGGAUUUAUUGGGUGUAAAGGGUGCGUAGAUGGGGAAUCAAGUUAGUUGUGAAAUCCCUCGGCUCAACUGAGGAACUGCAACUAAAACUGAUUUUCUUGAGUGCAGGAGAGGUAAGUGGAAUUCCUAGUGUAGCGGUGAAAUGCGUAGAUAUUAGGAGGAACACCAGUGGCGAAGGCGACUUACUGGACUGUAACUGACAUUGAGGCACGAAAGUGUGGGGAGCAAACA